GUCGAGCGGAAACGAGUUAUCUGAACCUUCGGGGGACGAUAACGGCGUCGAGCGGCGGACGGGUGAGUAAUGCCUAGGAAAUUGCCCUGAUGUGGGGGAUAACCAUUGGAAACGAUGGCUAAUACCGCAUGAUGCCUACGGGCCAAAGAGGGGGACCUUCGGGCCUCUCGCGUCAGGAUAUGCCUAGGUGGGAUUAGCUAGUUGGUGAGGUAAGGGCUCACCAAGGCGACGAUCCCUAGCUGGUCUGAGAGGAUGAUCAGCCACACUGGAACUGAGACACGGUCCAGACUCCUACGGGAGGCAGCAGUGGGGAAUAUUGCACAAUGGGCGCAAGCCUGAUGCAGCCAUGCCGCGUGUGUGAAGAAGGCCUUCGGGUUGUAAAGCACUUUCAGUCGUGAGGAAGGUAGUGUAGUUAAUAGCUGCAUUAUUUGACGUUAGCGACAGAAGAAGCACCGGCUAACUCCGUGCCAGCAGCCGCGGUAAUACGGAGGGUGCGAGCGUUAAUCGGAAUUACUGGGCGUAAAGCGCAUGCAGGUGGUUUGUUAAGUCAGAUGUGAAAGCCCGGGGCUCAACCUCGGAAUUGCAUUUGAAACUGGCAGACUAGAGUACUGUAGAGGGGGGUAGAAUUUCAGGUGUAGCGGUGAAAUGCGUAGAGAUCUGAAGGAAUACCGGUGGCGAAGGCGGCCCCCUGGACAGAUACUGACACUCAGAUGCGAAAGCGUGGGGAGCAAACAGGAUUAGAUACCCUGGUAGUCCACGCCGUAAACGAUGUCUACUUGGAGGUUGUGGCCUUGAGCCGUGGCUUUCGGAGCUAACGCGUUAAGUAGACCGCCUGGGGAGUACGGUCGCAAGAUUAAAACUCAAAUGAAUUGACGGGGGCCCGCACAAGCGGUGGAGCAUGUGGUUUAAUUCGAUGCAACGCGAAGAACCUUACCUACUCUUGACAUCCAGAGAACUUUCCAGAGAUGGAUUGGUGCCUUCGGGAACUCUGAGACAGGUGCUGCAUGGCUGUCGUCAGCUCGUGUUGUGAAAUGUUGGGUUAAGUCCCGCAACGAGCGCAACCCUUAUCCUUGUUUGCCAGCGAGUAAUGUCGGGAACUCCAGGGAGACUGCCGGUGAUAAACCGGAGGAAGGUGGGGACGACGUCAAGUCAUCAUGGCCCUUACGAGUAGGGCUACACACGUGCUACAAUGGCGCAUACAGAGGGCGGCCAACUUGCGAAAGUGAGCGAAUCCCAAAAAGUGCGUCGUAGUCCGGAUUGGAGUCUGCAACUCGACUCCAUGAAGUCGGAAUCGCUAGUAAUCGUGGAUCAGAAUGCCACGGUGAAUACGUUCCCGGGCCUUGUACACACCGCCCGUCACACCAUGGGAGUGGGCUGCAAAAGAAGUAGGUAGUUUAACCUUCGGGGGGACGCU
rnacentral:rRNA from 1 species